AGGCAGGCGGCGGACGGGCCGCUCGCCAAUCGGGUCAGGCGGGGAACCGAGCAGCCCUAACGAGCUUCAGUCCGGGUCGUUUGCUUGUCUCCA
rfam:Hyphomonas neptunium ATCC 15444, complete genome.